rnacentral:misc_RNA from 1 species
GAUGAAGAACGUAGCAAAAUGCGAUAAGUAAUGUGAAUUGCAGAAUUCAGUGAAUCAUCGAAUCUUUGAACGCACAUUGCGCCCGCCAGAAUACUGGCGGGCAUGCCUGUUCGAGCGUCAUUUCAACCCUCAAGCACAGCUUGGUGUUGGGACUCGCGUUAAUUCGCGUUCCUCAAAUUGAUUGGCGGUCACGUCGAGCUUCCAUAGCGUAGUAGUAAAACCCUCGUUACUGGUAAUCGUCGCGGCCACGCCGUUAAACCCCAACUUCUGAAUGUUGACCUCGGAUCAGGUAGGAAUACCCGCUGAACUUAAGCAUAUCAAUAAGCGGAGGA